rnacentral:misc_RNA from 1 species
UUUCCGUAGGUGAACCUGCGGAAGGAUCAUUCAUAAUAAAGUGUUUUAUGGCACUUUUUAAAAGUCCAUAUCCACCUUGUGUGCAAUGUUAGAUCUCGUCAAUCUUGGCGAGGUUUUUAUACAUCAACUCAUUCUUUAACUAAUUUGUCUGAAAAAUAUUAUGAAUACUUGAUUCAAAAUACAACUUUCAACAACGGAUCUCUUGGCUCUC